rnacentral:rRNA from 1 species
UCCUCCCUCUUUCUUCGUGCUUAACACAUGCAAGUCGAACGGAAAGACCCUGCUUUUGUGGGGUGCUCGAGUGGCGAACGGGUGAGUAACACGUGAGUAACCUGCCCUUGACUUUGGGAUAACUUCAGGAAACUGGGGCUAAUACCGGAUAGGAGCUCCUGCUGCAUGGUGGGGGUUGGAAAGUUUCGGCGGUUGGGGAUGGACUCGCGGCUUAUCAGCUUGUUGGUGGGGUAGUGGCUUACCAAGGCUUUGACGGGUAGCCGGCCUGAGAGGGUGACCGGCCACAUUGGGACUGAGAUACGGCCCAGACUCCUACGGGAGGCAGCAGUGGGGAAUAUUGCACAAUGGGCGGAAGCCUGAUGCAGCAACGCCGCGUGCGGGAUGACGGCCUUCGGGUUGUAAACCGCUUUCGCCUGUGACGAAGCGUGAGUGACGGUAAUGGGUAAAGAAGCACCGGCUAACUACGUG